rnacentral:rRNA from 1 species
AUUGAACGCUGGCGGCAUGCCUUACACAUGCAAGUCGAACGGCAGCACGGGAGCAAUCCUGGUGGCGAGUGGCGAACGGGUGAGUAAUAUAUCGGAACGUGCCCAGUAGUGGGGGAUAACUGCUCGAAAGAGCAGCUAAUACCGCAUACGACCUGAGGGUGAAAGGGGGGGAUCGCAAGACCUCUCGCGAUUGGAGCGGCCGAUAUCAGAUUAGCUAGUUGGUGGGGUAAAGGCCUACCAAGGCAACGAUCUGUAGUUGGUCUGAGAGGACGACCAGCCACACUGGGACUGAGACACGGCCCAGACUCCUACGGGAGGCAGCAGUGGGGAAUUUUGGACAAUGGGCGCAAGCCUGACCCAGCAAUGCCGCGUGCAGGAAGAAGGCCUUCGGGUUGUAAACUGCUUUUGUCAGGGAAGAAAUCCUCUAGGUUAAUACCCUUGGGGGGAUGACGGUACCUGAAGAAUAAGCACCGGCUAACUACGUGCCAGCCGCCGCCGUAACAC